AUGGUCGAUUUUGAUGAGACCGGAGGUGGCCUCCAGAGCCCUGGUGGGUCCCUGGGCUCCUCUGCAAGGCCUCGGGCUUCACCUUCAGCAGCUACAACAUGGGAUGGGUGCGACAGGCACCAGGGAAGGGGCUCGAGUGGGUCGGAACCAUUUGGACUGAUGAUGGUGGCACCAAUGGCCACCAAUGGUGGUUACACCGAGUACGCGCCAUCAGUGAAGGGUCGUUGCAGCAUCUCCAGGGACAACUCCCAGAGCACGGUCACGCUGCAGAUGAGCAGCCUCACGGCCCAGGACACGGCCACCUACUACUGCGUGAAGAGCACUGGUGGUUAUG